CAUGACGUAUUACGGGAGUCGGGCACAUGAGAAGCCGCCAUUGUUAACUUUUUUGUGAUGCGUGGAUAUUUAUUUUAUAAACUGAGUUAUAGUAUUUGUUGACCAAAACUGAUUUGUAUAGACUACUAAUAACUAUCUUCUCCAGCGAUAGUGAUUUUUUUUUGUGUGUAGCUUAAACCAUAGGAUAAAUCUACUGUUCCUUUGGGGAAUGUCUGCUAGCGUUGAUCAGCGCAUGAAAGGACAAGGCAGCUCGGUUGCAAAUGGACCUAAAGAUAUGGUGAAGGAUGAAGAAUUUGAAUCCUGGAGAAAUCAGCCUCAUCAGCAAACAUACAAUCCACCCAUGUCAUCUUCUAGCUUGCCUGAUCCAUAUAUGCCCAGCUAUUAUGCCUCUAUGUCAUAUUCCUUUGUAAACCAAGGACUAGGUGAGGGAGCAUGGAGCAAUGGUGGAGAUCCCAUGACUUUUCUUGGUGGAUAUGGAGGACAGAUGGGCAGUGGUGACCAGUCGCAUUAUAUGGAUGGCAUGUUUGGACAAAACAGCUUCAGUGGCUAUAACCAGAGCUUCAAUUACUUUCCUAGUGGUGGUGGUGGUGACUAUUCAACAUGGGGAAAUUCUGCAAUGGGAACACGGAAAACGGGACAUGGAACGUAUCCUGAGGAUUAUUAUCGAGAUACGUAUGAUCAAGGCCUUGAUAGAAACGCUCUGAAACAUAUGGAACAAGGCAUGGGUGGCCUUACGAUUGCAGACCAUAAAAAUGAUUCACAAUUUGUCAAAGAUCCAUAUGGUAAGCCAGGUAUGUUGCAUGGUAGUAUCAUGGCCGAUCAUCAGUUAGGAAAGAAAUUUGGAUCUGCUACAAAUGAGAACAUGGUAAUGGCUGGUACUCCAGGUGUAUCUGGGCAGCCUGUUGGUUCUAAAAAAAUGUCUUGGGCAACUGUAGCAAGCCAACCUGCUAAACCUCAAGCAAAAGUGAAACCUAAGCCUGUUAAUCCAACUGCUAUCUUAUCAGGUGGUUCUAAGCAUAAUACUUCAAGCAUGGAUAUUGGGACCUGGGAAAGCAAAAAUGGUAGUGGUGCAGGUAAUGGUGGAAAGAUGGGUCCUCCACCAGCAUUGCAAUCACGUUCUGCACCUAAUUGGAACGCUCCUAGAGGAAAUAGAAGUAAUGGACCCUCAGGACCUGGAUACAAUUCACCACCUCAACAACAGCAGCAGCAGCAGCAACAAGUUGCUGUUGCGCAGAACAAUACUGCUGGAGGGGAUAACUAUCCUCAACAUCCAGUGUUAGAUAAAUUAAGAAUGGAAAACAAUUACAAUCCUAAAGAAUUUGAUUUAAAUCCUAAGAACGUUAGAUUUUUUAUUAUCAAGUCUUAUUCCGAAGAUGACAUUCACCGCUCGAUCAAGUACUCCAUAUGGUGUUCCACUGAGCAUGGAAACAAACGGCUGGACCAAGCGUUUCGUGAAACCAAAGGACUGGUGUACUUGUUUUAUAGUGUAAAUGGAUCGGGUCAUUUUUGUGGCAUGGCACAGAUGGUGUCUCCUGUGGACUACAGUAGUACUGCUAAUGUCUGGGCACAGGACAAAUGGAAAGGGCAGUUUAAAGUUAAAUGGAUUUAUGUAAAGGAUGUUCCAAAUUCUCAAUUGCGUCACAUUCGCCUGGAAAAUAAUGAAAAUAAGCCGGUGACCAAUUCGAGAGACACUCAGGAGGUGCCACCUGAAAAAGGAAAACAAGUGUUGAAAAUUAUGCAUACUUUUCGUCAUACUACUUCAAUAUUUGAUGAUUUUUUGCAUUAUGAAAAACGUCAAGAAGAAGAUGAACAACGUAAGACUCAGGAUGAAUAGCAAGAUACACACAAGAAUAUUUUUUAGAUGGUAUUCAAUAAUGAAAUAAUCAAGUAAUGCAUUUUUUGGAUGCGAGGAACUUUUUAUCAAGUCAAGACCCUCAGGGGAAGAAAUCUAGUAUUCAGCACUCUAGUGUCUGUGGCCUGCGUCCAACGUUCCUCAGCUAAACUUUUCUUGUGACUAAAAAUCAAGCCUCUUAUCAAGCCACAUAGUUAAUUGUCAUUUGCUGUGACUUCUUCAUUCUAGUUCCUUAAACUUCAGUAGCUCCUCGCUUCUCUGUAUUAUCACCUACCUUACUCGCCUGCCCUUUUUAGAAAACUGCAAUUUAUUCUGCACUCCCCAUCGUGGAAGGAAAUCAAGUCAAUCGAAAUGGAACAGCUGUUAAAUAAUGAUAUUUGUGGAUGCUCCAGCAGCUUCAUCGUUCUACAAGGCGAGCCUGCUUGGCUUGUCACGAUAUCGAACGUAACAGCUCUUCGCACUUACAAAAAAGAACCCCGAAAACAUUUUUAAAAACAUGCAUUAUUUGUUUAUAUAUCAGCACUAAAGAUUCCAAUUAGAAUCAGUGAGCGGACUUCAGUGUGGACCUAGUAAAACUCCCAAACUAUUAAAAAAAACUUCUAAAAAUUUGUACAAAAAAACUUAAAUAAAAUGGGGACGGUCUUUAAAAAAAAUGGAAUGACUGGGGGACUGACCGUCCGAGUGAUUGGACUUUUAUUACAAUUUUGCUGCUUGAGUGAACUUUGACCAAUGGAGGGAUUCAAAAUGUUCUGUCUUGUAUGAACUGUGAAAAAUCCCAAAGCUGUACUAGUGAUGUCCUCCUUUAAAAUAGAUGAUUUGCCCAGUUAGGCAUUAAACAAAAAAUAAAAGAGAAAAAAUAGUACUUGACCUAUCCUCCAACUAUGAAGUCAUCUCCGAAAAAUUCCACUGGGGAAAAUGUGAUGUUCAUAUGUGUUGAAGUGCAAUCAAAGAUCAGUUUUUUUUCUUUUCUUUUGUGCGAAUAUUUUCAGGGCAUGGCAAGCACCAAUGGCUAGGCAAGUGCCUAUUUUCAUUUUAAAGUUAUUUCAGCCUUUCCUAGUGACAACAUUUAAAAUACGAAAUUGAAAAAUAUUAAAGGGAAAAUAUAUAGGUCUUUAGAAUGAAAAAAGUAUAUAUAUAGCCGUUUGCCUCCUCGCCAUGUAAGACUUGUUUUUAUGUUUAAAAGAUUCUAUAUUUAAAAAAAAAAGGAGCAUGUUCAAUAUCUUGUAGGUUUUACAAGUAUGUCUUUAAUGCCAUGUAAUUGUCCAACAGUUUUUAAAGAUUCAUUCUUUGCCGAUGAUAUUGUUUUUUCCAUUAUUGUAUAUUAUAUGUAUAGAGCAUAUGUCUAAUUGAAAAAGAAUUAUUAAAUUAAUACCUUGUACAGUAAAUAGAAAAUUAAGUAUGAAUGAUUUUUUUUUUCUUGAAGUAUUGGAGUCUGGAAAUUGGAAUAUGUUUUGAAAUGAUUUCUGCUGUGUGAUAAGAGGUUUCACUUAUGAGAAUAAAACUAUUACAUAUAUUGUAGGCUUGCCACAGUUGUUUCUUCCUCGGUUCCUCACAUUCAUGUUUUGGGAAAAUUUUUAGAUUAAUAUAUUUUUUUUAAAUGUAUCUGCUUGUCUUGUAUUAUGAAUUAUUGUCUUGCGAGUCAGUUGUUUAAUUGAAUACCUAAUAUCAAUGUAUUGUAUUAAUGGAUAAAUCAAUAAAAUGACUGUUUAUAAUACCGAAUAUUUAAUCAAAAUUAUAUGAAUGUCUAAAAACAGUUUCGAAAUUUUAAUAGUUUUUUUUUUUUAUUUUCCUGAAUGUUGAAUGGAUUUUGAUGUUGUAAUUUAAACACUGCAAUUAGUAUUUUUUUUUUAUUAUUUUACUUAUUCAGCAAAAUCUUAAAUAUUUGUUUAUAAAAUUAAGGCAUUGUUAUUGAAUAUUAAACCUUGCUUUGAAGUGCUAUUUCAAAUUUGUUAGCUGUGACCUGCACUAUCCUUGAAUUUUAAUGUUAAAUCAUAACUUGUGUGGUCAAUUAAUUGUGCUUUAAUGUUUAUUCUUAGCGAGGGUAUUGGUUUCACAUAUUAUUAUUUUGCUAAAAUCUGUAUGCAUGUUGAUUAUUAUGCUUAUUCUUUUUAAAAAUGCUUUUGUUUUUUACCUUAAAGUUUGUUAAAUACUUUCUCCAGUGUACGGUAAGAUGGCAUUUCAUUAAGGAAUUUUCAAUUGUAUUCAUAAUUUAGAGGCAUUAUUCUUAUUAAUUUGAAUAUUUAAAAGAUGUUUAUAAUGCAUUGUUGAGUAUUUUCCAAUAAAAAUUUCCAAGUAACCUUUUUAUUGUGUCUCUGCCAUGCCAGUAUGUUACUUCGUGAGGAAGAUUCCUUACAUUUAUUUUUCCUCCUUAUUUUUUUUUUUUUUUUUUUUCUUCUUUCAAUUCAAUAAGUGGCGCCUAGCAUAUUAUAUAUGGGUAAAAAGAAUGAUGGUAUAAUGGAAAUAAAAUUUGAUUAGCAGUGUU